rnacentral:rRNA from 1 species
AUUGAACGCUGGCGGCAGGCUUAACACAUGCAAGUCGAGCGGAGAGAGGUAGCUUGCUACUGAUCUUAGCGGCGGACGGGUGAGUAAUGCUUAGGAAUCUGCCUAUUAGUGGGGGACAACAUUUCGAAAGGAAUGCUAAUACCGCAUACGUCCUACGGGAGAAAGCAGGGGAUCUUCGGACCUUGCGCUAAUAGAUGAGCCUAAGUCGGAUUAGCUAGUUGGUGGGGUAAAGGCCUACCAAGGCGACGAUCUGUAGCGGGUCUGAGAGGAUGAUCCGCCACACUGGGACUGAGACACGGCCCAGACUCCUACGGGAGGCAGCAGUGGGGAAUAUUGGACAAUGGGCGGAAGCCUGAUCCAGCCAUGCCGCGUGUGUGAAGAAGGCCUUAUGGUUGUAAAGCACUUUAAGCGAGGAGGAGGCUACUCUAGUUAAUACCUAGGGAUAGUGGACGUUACUCGCGGAAUAAGCACCGGCUAACUCUGUGCCAGCCGCCGCCGUAA